UACGAAGGACCCAAGCGUUAUCCGGAUUUAUUGGGCUUAAAGGGUGCGUAGGCGGGUUAUUAAGUCAGUGGUGAAAGCCUUCAGCUUAACUGGAGAAUUGCCAUUGAUACUGAUGAUCUUGAGUAUGAUUGAGGUGGGCGGAAUGUGUCAUGUAGCGGUGAAAUGCUUAGAUAUGACACAGAACACCGAUUGCGAAGGCAGCUCACUAAGCCAUAACUGACGCUGAUGCACGAAAGCGUGGGGAGCAAACAGG
rnacentral:rRNA from 1 species